GGCAAGAUGGCCGAGCGGUCUAUGGCGUGUGACUCAAGCGACAGCUUGCCUGGUUGAUCAGGUCUAUCUCAUCCUCGUAUGAGGGCGUGGGUUCAAAUCCCACUCUUGUCA
rnacentral:tRNA from 1 species